rnacentral:piRNA from 1 species
UGUGAAAAAAUAUAUUCGAUG